rnacentral:snRNA from 1 species
UCGCUUCAGCAGCUCAUCUACUAAAACUGGAAUGAUACAGAGAAGACCAGCAUGGCCCCUGCACAAGGAUGACACGAAAACCUGUAAAGUGUUCCAUUAAAAA